UCCCAGGUGGCCUAGUGGGUUAAGGAUCUGGGAUUGCCACUGCCGUGGCGCAGGUUCAAUCCCUGUCCUGGCAA
rnacentral:tRNA from 1 species